rnacentral:rRNA from 1 species
GACGAACGCUGGCGGCGUGCUUAACACAUGCAAGUCGAACGAAGAGCGAUGGAAGCUUGCUUCUAUCAAUCUUAGUGGCGAACGGGUGAGUAACGCGUAAUCAACCUGCCCUUCAGAGGGGGACAACAGUUGGAAACGACUGCUAAUACCGCAUACGAUCUAAUCUCGGCAUCGAGGAUAGAUGAAAGGUGGCCUCUACAUGUAAGCUAUCACUGAAGGAGGGGAUUGCGUCUGAUUAGCUAGUUGGAGGGGGAACGGCCCACCAAGGCGAUGAUCAGUAGCCGGUCUGAGAGGGUGAACGGCCACAUUGGGACUGAGACACGGCCCAGACUCCUACGGGAGGCAGCAGUGGGGAAUCUUCCGCAAUGGACGAAAGUCUGACGGAGCAACGCCGCGUGAGUGAUGACGGCCUUCGGGUUGUAAAGCUCUGUUAAUCGGGACGAAAGGCCUUCUUGCGAAUAGUGAGAAGGAUUGACGGUACCGGAAGAGAAAGCCACGGCUAACUACGUG